AAUGAACGCUGGCGGCGUGCUUAACACAUGCAAGUCGAACGAGGCGGAGGGGGCAACCCCUCCAGUCGAGUGGCGGACGGGUGAGUAACACGUGGGUAACCUGCCCGGAAGUGGGGAACACCUCGGGGAAACUCGAGCUAAUACCGCAUGACAUCUUCGGGACGAAAGUCCUGACGAUCAAAGCGGGGCCGCAAGGCCUCGCGCUUCCGGAUGGGCCCGCGCCCGAUUAGCUAGUUGGCGAGGUAACGGCUCACCAAGGCUUCGAUCGGUAACCGGCCUGAGAGGGCGAUCGGUCACACCGGAACUGAGACACGGUCCGGACUCCUACGGGAGGCAGCAGUGGGGAAUCUUGCGCAAUGGGCGAAAGCCUGACGCAGCAACGCCGCGUGGAGGAUGAAGGCCCUUGGGUUGUAAACU
rnacentral:rRNA from 1 species